rnacentral:rRNA from 1 species
UACGUAGGGUGCAAGCGUUAAUCGGAAUUACUGGGCGUAAAGCGUGCGCAGGCGGUUGUGCAAGACAGAUGUGAAAUCCCCGGGCUCAACCUGGGAACUGCAUUUGUGACUGCACGGCUGGAGUGCGGCAGAGGGGGAUGGAAUUCCGCGUGUAGCAGUGAAAUGCGUAGAUAUGCGGAGGAACACCGAUGGCGAAGGCAAUCCCCUGGGCCUGCACUGACGCUCAUGCACGAAAGCGUGGGGAGAAACAGG